GACGAACGCUGGCGGCGUGCCUAAUACAUGCAAGUAGAACGCACAGUUUAUACCGUAGCUUGCUACACCAUAGACUGUGAGUUGCGAACGGGUGAGUAACGCGUAGGUAACCUGCCUGGUAGCGGGGGAUAACUAUUGGAAACGAUAGCUAAUACCGCAUAAUAUUAAUUAUUGCAUGAUAAUUAAUUGAAAGGUGCAAUUGCACCACUACCAGAUGGACCUGCGUUGUAUUAGCUAGUAGGUGAGGUAACGGCUCACCUAGGCGACGAUACAUAGCCGACCUGAGAGGGUGAUCGGCCACACUGGGACUGAGACACGGCCCAGACUCCUACGGGAGGCAGCAGUAGGGAAUCUUCGGCAAUGGACGAAAGUCUGACCGAGCGACGCCGCGUGAGUGAAGAAGGUUUUCGGAUCGUAAAGCUCUGUUGUAAGAGAAGAACGGGUGUGAGAGUGGAAAGUUCACACUGUGACGGUAUCUUACCAGAAAGGGACGGCUAACUACGUG
rnacentral:rRNA from 1 species